rnacentral:lncRNA from 1 species
UGAAGAUGCAAGCUUCCCUCUCUUCCUGUUUGGUAUAAUUGACAAUGUGUGAUAGGGCGUGAGAGCUCCCACUACAGGACUUCCCAGCUGCAAUUUACUCAAGGUUCUUUUAUUAAUUUCCACAAGUGGUAUAGCAAAAUAACCGCAACAAAAAAGAAAGCUCUAAAAGACCCCUGGCUCACCUGCUGGAUAAGUGAAAGCCUAUUAAUAAGAGACAGAGGCUUGCUUAUGUAAUGAAGUCCUGCAGAGAACAGCAAAGACACAUGAAAAUAAGAAUAAGUGAAUGAAGAGGAGGAAUGAUCCCACUGACCCAUAUCUUGAGACUUCUUGGGAGGUCAGACAUACAUGACACAGACUAUUGAAAGUCUAAGGAAAAAUCCAGAAGGAAUGUUCGAUAUAGGCAUAAAUAGUCAUCAAAGACAAGCUUUUACCUUAAAAAGGCUGGAGGCUCCGUUUUCCCCUGGCUUCAGGGAAGGAAGCUCUGGUAGAAGGGAAGAGAGCAGCAUCGGCAGUGUGCUGGAGCCCCCUCGUAGUGGCUGGCAAGAACGGAUUGUGAAAAUCUCAUUCAUUUUUCAAGUGUUGUCUCUAGCAGUGCGGCUGCUCCUCUGUGGCUCCAGCUCUGGGUGGAGAACUUUCCAGUGAGGUCCUGGCUCCCAACAGGGCUCAAAACAGGGCUGCCACAUAGUAGGUGACUAACAGAUGUUGAACACCUUUUCAAUCUCUCCAAAUGAUAGAAAAAUCAAAGAAAAAUCAAAGAAAAGUUUGCCGUAGCAAGGAAGACUUGAACUCAACACUGUGUACCAACUUAGGGUUGAAGGAACGGGCUUUGAAGCUAUGAAGAAGAGAAACUCAGUGUGUGCUGAAUUGAGCAAUGCGUGCCCUCCCGCUCUUGGUGACCUGGCACAAUCUAUUAUUCCAAUCUUACAGCUGAGGUCCAGAGUCCUACUCAAGAUUGAACAAAGUCAUACCGAAGUGAUGAACAAGCGUGAGGCCUUACUUCUCCAGACAGAACUGAAUCUCUCUCCUUUGGAGAUUGACUUUGAUUUACGAUGAGGUGCAUGGAGUGUGUCCUAAGGGCAUCAAGCCGUAAUUGCUCUCCUUCAAAGUGGACCGUUCUGCCCUCAUCCUUCAACUAAAGGGGAGCUGUAUAACACCCUGUGUUGAUUUGACUUCUGAUUUAUUUCUUUUGGAAGGAUUAUGUCUUUUGUUAAAACGUUCUUUUCACCGGGGAUGGAGAUUUAAGGAAUAAAGAGG